GCGAUCAUAGCUCAGCUGGGAUGAGCGUCCGCUUGACGUGCGGGAGGUCACAGGUUCGAUCCCUGUUGGUCGCA
rnacentral:tRNA from 1 species